GCCAAAUGUUUGUUGAAAUAUGAAAUAAUUUUUCAUAAUUUUGUCUGCCGGAGUUUUUGCCGGAGUUUUCCAACUCCGGCUCCGGCAAAAUAUGCCGGAGGUCCGGCUCCGGCACUCCGGCUCUAAAAGUCACACAAAUCGACUAGAUGUUCCAACACAAGAGGCAGCACCAGAGCAUAGAAUAUAUAAUAGACCAGAGGAUGCCCAUGUUCAUGCCGAUGAUGAUGCACCCAUGUUACAGUAAUGCAAGCCAAUUUUACAUUGCAAAGCUUUUUGGAACAAAUUACCGG